rnacentral:lncRNA from 1 species
GGUGCCAUAUAUGCAGCACGAUGUACGAGACUUUUACAAAUAUGAAUCUGUUACUGUUAAACAGGGGGAGCAACGAAUUGUGCUUCGGUUCACAUUGGUGAGAUCCGAGCUGGGGGAGUAAGGGGGAAUCAUAGACACCAUUCUUGCAAUGAGACAUUUGUUAUUUGGGGAGCCAAAACCUUAUUUAGGGUGAGUUUUAAGUUACUAAUUCAUAUCAUUUGUCUAAUUCACUGUGUUUCACUUACUGUGUGUUUCAUUGUAAAGCCUGUCCUAUUUUCCUUGAGCAUAAUAGUUUCAAGAAAGUUAUUAUUUGGCUUGUGGAAAUUCAUCAGUUAGGAAAUUCUCUCAAGUUAUAACCAAAAAGGCUGGUUUCUUUCCCUUCUUUUUUUUAGCGUUUUAUCAGCUGGGAUUUGUCAUUAGUUUUCUAUAAAAGAGUAGAUAUCCUAUAAUUCUGCCAUUUAGCAAAAAAAAAAAAAAAGAAUAGCUUUUGGAGCUUGAAUUUUGCUGCUUAUUUAUUUUAAGCGGUCAAUGCUCAUAGAGAAACUAUAGAAAGCUUUGUAUACUAACAGAGAGUUUAUGCUGGAGAGGAUUGUUCUUCUUUUUGUAGUAUUUCUUAGACUAGUGGGACUGAAUGGGAGGGUAGUUGCAGAAGUAUGUCUAGAACAUUUAUAAUAUGCAUUUUUUGGGUCUUAGAUGGUUAUGGGUUGCUAAAAGCCUGCAUGACUAAAGAGGUGCAGCAGCUUUAAUUGUUUCUCUGGUGCCGUUAAUUUGUAUUUGAUCAAAGUCUUUUCCCUGGAAUUUGUUCUUGCCUCAACUAGUACAGAAGGGAGAAGAAAAUUUGCCAUUUGAUUUUGACGACAUGUAAUAUGUCAUAAUAGAAUUGCCAGCAAUAGUUUCUGUUUGCAUAAACAAUUGAAUGUAAUUUGGGGCCAAUGACACUGUUUGGGCAUUCUGGUUCAAGGAGGUCAACUAUUUCUAUUUCUUCAUAAUUAGAUUGAAUACUAUAUGUCAAAAAAAAAAAAAAAUCUUUUUCUUUUCUUUUUCUUGUCUAGUCUUCCUUCCUCAAGCCACAAAUUCACAGACUCCGCUUGGCAUAAUUUUCUCUAUAUUCAUGUAUUUUAAAGGAUUACUUACAAAGUAGAGUUUAAUACUUGGGCUUUUCCUCUAGCUCUAAGUAUAUAGAGAAGGUGAAACACAGGAGUCUUGAUGCAUCAGUCAUUGUGGUGCAGCUCAAGUUAACAUGAAAUUAGGAGCAUGCUGGAGAGAAUCACUUAAAAACCAAUCUUACUUUUCCCUCUAUUGAUCUUUAUUUAGUUAUUUGGGGAACUGAUCAACUUUUUUUGAACAAAGUGGAUAGCCUAACUUUUAUGAAGUUUAAUAUGUGCCCUAGUAAGACAUCCUACAAAUUCUGUAGUUUGUUUGUGCCUUAGCACCAAUCAAGUUUCUGCAACUAGCAUUUGCUGCAGUAUUUAUGUUUGUGUGUAACAUUGUUCCAACUGUGGUAUAUUAUAUGUUCAACAGAGAACUGUCAUUUCCAGCUGUGGUGUUAAGAGUUUCUUUAAUUUUUUUUUUUUGUCAAAUAAAGAUACUGGUAAGGACUAUUGUUUUCUGUGGGGCGGUAAAGACAUAAAGACAAAUCAGUGCACACUUGAAAUCAAGCUGUGAGUACUGAUUUUGUCAUUUGCCAUUCGAGGAUACAUGAUUUGGCUUCAAAAAUUAAACAUUUUCCAAGAUUGAGGGGGAUUGUCAUUUUCACUUGACUAGUUGAAUUCACAUUUAAAGUUCGCACAUUUACUUUAUGUUUUGCUUGAAUCUGAAACUAGACUAAACCAUGCUGAUGCCUCAGCUGGGACUACUGGGUUUACUAAACAAGUCAACUCUAAGAUUCAGUUCACUGAGAUCAUCUUUUUUUUUUCUGAAAAUCCUAGUUUUAUAGUGCAUGCACUUAACAUUUUCUAUGAACUGCAGCUAAAAGAGCUCGUCUUUGGGCUGAUCGCUUAAUAUGGUUAUUAUUCUUCUGAUUGAUAGCAUCUGACUUUUAUUGUCAAAUAAGCCCUUUUAGAGUUGACUUGUAUAGAUAUAUAACGAAAAACACUUCAAAACAUCAACUCAAACAAAUCUGGAACUUAAGAUUUGGCCAAUAUGCUUUAACAUUUUGCACCAAGGCGGUAGAGGAACUGAUAACAUGCAUGCUUAACGUUGCAUACUAGAGAACUGCUCUCAAGCUCUUAUUUGCAGCAUAACAUGCAAUUUGUUGGUUGCGUGCUCAAGUUACUUUCAUAAGCUUAAUUUGCUGGAUCCUGAAUUUCUUUCUUUUACACCUGUAAUGCCAUCUGAUUGGUGCUGUCAUCUAUCUAUUUGUUCUUCACUUCUUCUUCCUUCACUCUAUUAGUUAAAUCUCAACAUACAAAUGUAUUUUUGCAGUUGGAAAAUAAUUUGGUUGACAAAGGCUAUGCUGAGGUGAUAGUUGGUGCAGAUGAGGUAGCUGUUGCAGCUAGUCCAAGUGGAAAAGCACAUGCUUUGGUAAACCUGGAUGCUCUGAGGAGUACAUUCUUCUUGGGGUGCCAGGAUAAUAUUAUCAAUUACAAUGACUCUACUUCUGACUUCAAUGUAUGGAAAGAUAUUUAGUUCUUUGAUCUUGUUAUUUCCGUAGCAUGGUUGGUUUUUUUUUUUUUAAAUAUAUAGUGUCAGCUAUCUCAGGGUUUUCAUCUUUGCUCCAGUUCUCUUUUAGCUGGGAGCCUUGUACAAGUAGCGGAAAAAGUUAUGAUAACCUUUUGUGUCACGUUGUAGUUCCUUUUUUGUAGUGAACUACCAAACCUGCAAAAACAAAUUACCUUCUAGUUCAAUCAAAUGCGAAAAUAAUACUACUAAUGGUAACCAAAUUGUAUCCUAAAAUGGCGAAAAUCAACUGAACGCUUCUAUGGCAAAUCCUCCAAGUAGAAGAACAUCAUCUUCUUCAUCUUCAUCAUCACCUUAUUCUGGCAGUAAUUACCUGCUUCCAAUUUCAGAUACCAACAAUAACAACAACCAAUUUCAAUCCCAAGCCACUGCAGCUACAGCAACAAUUAGACUAGUAAAUUCCAUCAAAAUCUUCCUCAGAAAACCCCAUGCUUUCCCUUUUCUCCUUUCCAUUUUCCUUUUUCUCACAUGGGUUUCCCUCAGAAUCCAGCAUCAUCAGCAUCCUAGGAGUGAUUUCAACACUUGGGCUCUGAAAUUGGGCAAUAAGGGUAAAGAUGAGGACGCCAAUCUUGUGAGGUUUCACUCUAUGUCGUCCUCUAUUGUGAAAGAUAAACGUGGGUGGUUUGUUGAUCCUGUUUCUCUCGGUCUUCAAGCUGGCAUUUCAGGUCUGAAUAUAUUUCUCUAUCCCUCCCAAAAACCGCCCCAAUUUUUUGUUCAAGGUGCCAUAUAUGCAGCACGAUGUACGAGACUUUUACAAAUAUGAAUCUGUUACUGUUAAACAGGGGGAGCAACGAAUUGUGCUUCGGUUCACAUUGGUGAGAUCCGAGCUGGGGGAGUAAGGGGGAAUCAUAGACACCAUUCUUGCAAUGAGACAUUUGUUAUUUGGGGAGCCAAAACCUUAUUUAGGGUGAGUUUUAAGUUACUAAUUCAUAUCAUUUGUCUAAUUCACUGUGUUUCACUUACUGUGUGUUUCAUUGUAAAGCCUGUCCUAUUUUCCUUGAGCAUAAUAGUUUCAAGAAAGUUAUUAUUUGGCUUGUGGAAAUUCAUCAGUUAGGAAAUUCUCUCAAGUUAUAACCAAAAAGGCUGGUUUCUUUCCCUUCUUUUUUUUAGCGUUUUAUCAGCUGGGAUUUGUCAUUAGUUUUCUAUAAAAGAGUAGAUAUCCUAUAAUUCUGCCAUUUAGCAAAAAAAAAAAAAAAGAAUAGCUUUUGGAGCUUGAAUUUUGCUGCUUAUUUAUUUUAAGCGGUCAAUGCUCAUAGAGAAACUAUAGAAAGCUUUGUAUACUAACAGAGAGUUUAUGCUGGAGAGGAUUGUUCUUCUUUUUGUAGUAUUUCUUAGACUAGUGGGACUGAAUGGGAGGGUAGUUGCAGAAGUAUGUCUAGAACAUUUAUAAUAUGCUUUUUUUGGGUCUUAGAUGGUUAUGGGUUGCUAAAAGCCUGCAUGACUAAAGAGGUGCAGCAGCUUUAAUUGUUUCUCUGGUGCCGUUAAUUUGUUUUUGAUCAAAGUCUUUUCCCUGGAAUUUGUUCUUGCCUCAACUAGUACAGAAGGGAGAAGAAAAUUUGCCAUUUGAUUUUGACGACAUGUAAUAUGUCAUAAUAGAAUUGCCAGCAAUAGUUUCUGUUUGCAUAAACAAUUGAAUGUAAUUUGGGGCCAAUGACACUGUUUGGGCAUUCUGGUUCAAGGAGGUCAACUAUUUCUAUUUCUUCAUAAUUAGAUUGAUUCUAUUUCUUCAUAAUUAGAUUGAAUACUAUAUGUCAAAAAAAAAAAAAAA